UACAUACAUACAUACUUUCUCCACUGUACAAAAAUAAAAAUAUGAUCUCAUCACCUUCCCUGGUCUAACUAAAUACAUAAAUUUCCUAAAACACCCAUCCACGGUUUGCAUAUAUGCAUGUAUAUGUGUAUGUAUAUAUACAUAAAUACAUAAACUUUACUUCAAAUUAGCAAUACACUCAUAGCUAAAAUGGUAUUGCAUCAAUACUGAUUAGAGUGCCCACUUCAUCUGCACGGUAAUAAGAGGCAUUGCAAUAUGUAUUUAGUUUGCUGAAAAUUUACCUCCGAGAAAUAAACUAUUACACAUUUCGGGAAGAAGAUAUUACCAAAUAAGUACCAGGACGUAUGCGACUUCACCACUUUUUCAACAGUGUAUUUAGAAGCUGCAAAUAUUUCUAAAAAAUUAAUUAACAUGUGAUUGACCGGAAAUUCGUCCUCAUCAAUGAUGCUACCCACGGCCCAAUCUCGCAUAAGUGUAAUUGCUGGUUCUACUUCGGGUGCCCAGAAUCGAAAUAGCUGGUGGGAUGGGGAAGACUAUCAGGAUGAGUUGGUCAUCUUCAUUUACAUUUUGGUGACCCUUCUCCUCUCUCUCCUGGUCUUACUUGGGGUCAAAUUCUUGUGUAAUCGGGUGAGGCAUGGACGGGAACGGAAGCACUUGGACGACCUCCGAUAAAUACGGACUUCAUUGAGGGAAUCAUUUUGACUCAAAUUACGUAGCAUGGAUGGUAUAUACAUGUUUGCCAUUAGGAAAUCCUCCUUUAUGUCAUCACAUAAAUUUGCAUGUAAAUUUGCAUGUUAAGAUGCAAAUAUGUUGUAAGGAUUGUCUGGUAAGGAUUUAAUUGGCGACGCUUUACCAUCACGAGUGACAAAAUAAACUUAUCUGAAAUUAUUUUAUAUGGAAUUAUCUUAUUAAGCAAACUCAUUUCAGAAAUUGUUUGUACAUACAUAUGUAUUUACAUAUGCGGUUUAUUUCUGAAAAUUUUCAGGCAAACGGCUCUUUAGUACAUUGUAGUAGUAGAUUAAUUAAGUUACAUGGUUAACUUAACCCCCUGUAAAUUAUCAGCCCCUCACUCAAUGCAUGAUGGUUGCAUUCAUGGAGAUAUGCAAGCUUAAGGAUUAAACGCGUUCGGGGUAUUUUAAGAUGCGUGAUUUUAACGGGAUGGAUCUAACAGAAUUAUUUUUAUCAAUUCGCCUUAAAUUUCAUUAUUUUCAAAAUAAGAAUAAAUCAUAAAGUGUAAC